UUGCAGGUAGCUUUCAUCAUGCAAUAGCCUUUAAUCAUGGAAAGCAACGUUCUCACUCCUCUUUCAUGCGUGUCAUUAAUGGGUUAUGGUAAAAUCUUCCUAGUAUGGCUUGCUGAGAGAAAAAAUAGGAGACAUCAAGGAUUUCUGAGAGACCUUUAGAGCAUCUGUUUGGUGAAAAGAAUGUGUGCAUAUGUGAAAUGAAAAAAUAAGGUUGGACAUGAAAACCUCCGUAGAAGCAAGAGAGAAAAAAAAAUGAGGGAAAAAAAAAGAAAAAAAAAAGGGAAAAAAAGCUGGGCUCUGGGCCACAGGCCCUGCAGGCCCCAUCCCUUGCAGCACCCUCAGAAGCACACUGAGACAUAAAGCAUUCCUGGGCAGUGCUGCAGAGGAGUCGGAACCCAGCUGCAAGGUGCAACCAGCUCCACAUUUCCUCCUGUUCUCUUAAGCACGAUAUCAAAGAAAGAGUUAAGUUCUCCAGCAUUCAAAUCUUAGUCCAGUCUCUAAGUGAGAGCAUUUGGGGCAUUUGUCUGAAAACCUUGGUGUACUUUGACAUCCAGCCGUGAAGAGAAUGGACUUAUUUUUUCCAGUCUUGGCAAGAACAGCACUCUUAAAUCAAAACAACUUAGUCAUAUUAUGAAAGCUGAGACCCUUGCAUUGUCACAGCUCUGCAUCUGAAAAGUUUGCAAGACUCCACCAUAGAGCUAUCGGAACUGACUCACGCACCGGACAUUGUUACAGUGCUGAGGCACAGAACAGGUGGUGACAUACCAGAAGAUAGGGAACUCCAAACUGGAGGAACAUACGUACAUUACAGGACUUUCUGCACAAGGAGGACAAGUUCCCUCUGCAGGGACGUGCCCAAAGCAUUGCUCUUUUGUAAUCUGAGAGAGCACUGCUGCAAGUAUUUCCUCAGCAAUUAUGUAUUUUUCGUGAGCAUGUGGAUUUUCACUUCAUAUCAAUGAUUUUAUGAGUGCUGUCUGGAGAUGAUGGAACUACUGCUUAUGAAAACCAGACACGGUGCUUCCCUUCUUAUGUUCUCUACCAAGACAUUUAUAGCAUUUGAGAUGAAUGUAUAAAUUCACAAUGCUGACUGUAUGGAUUCACCUGUCAGUCACACAGAGGGGGCCUGCCUGAAAAUAUCAUCACCCCUCACAUCUCUGGCUUCCAGAUCUGAGCAGUAAAUGCGAAACUGCAGAGAAACAGCUGCCAGAAAACGGUGAAGAAAGGAACCAUGAAAUGACCCUGUCCUCUGAGGAAAGAGGCGGCAGAGGGGGAAUCUCCAAGUCCUGCUUGCUCUCGCAUGAGCAAGAGUGACCGUGAGAGUGCAGUGGGCUUGCAGUGUCACACGGCAAUGCUGGCGCAGUAAUUCCUUGCUGAACAGCAGCCAAUUAUCCAGCUUUUGGGAACACAUGCAGACAAGGUUUCACAAAAUGAAACCUCUGACGUGAAUAACAUUCUAAGCCCCUCUCUCUCCCAGGAUGUCACUUAACAGCAAGCUAACCUCUUUGAAGACCUGAGAUCAGCCAUCUACCUGCUAAACUAGAAGGCCACAGAAAAGAGUGAGGUUUCUAUGUAUACUAAGGCACAUACUGAAUGCACCUCAAGGCACGUGCCUGAGUUGUGCAGAGAGAGGCAGCUGCUGAAGAGGCACCGUGAAGGAGCAGGCAGACAUUCUGGUGACAGCAGUACAUUGCAGCAAUAGGCACAGCCCUGUGUCAGUCAUUGUUCAGCAUCACAGGGUCCCCAGUGUACUGCAGUGUUAGCUCAGCUUGUUGCAGAAUUGUAAUAGCCUCUCAGACUGACUUGCUGGCUUCCCCCUUUGCAACACCACCAAUAGUUCACCUGUUUUCCCUCACUCAUGUGAAAAUAUGACUGCUUAUCAGACCCAGAAGCUGCUACUACAUGUGCAGGUGAAGACAGAUUUAGAACCAAGUGAUGGUACAUAAGUGACCCGGAAAAAAG
ensembl:lncRNA